GGUGACUAGGGAGAGAGGGGGUGAUUAGUGACAGAGUGAGGGAGCGGGUGACACAGUGACAGAGUUAGGGAGGGAGUAACUAGUGACAGAGAGAGGGGUGGGGUGACUUCCCUCCCUCACUCUGCCACUAGUCACCCAUUCCCUCACUCUGUCACUAGUCUCCCAUUCCCUCCCUCUGUCACUAGUCUCCCCCUCUCCUUCCCUCUGUCACUAGUCACCCACUCCCUCACUCUGUCACCAGUCACCCCCACUCACUGUGUCUCCCCCUCACUCUGCCAC